rfam:Paeniclostridium sordellii ATCC 9714 gcs9714.contig.98, whole genome shotgun sequence.
AUAAAUCUUCAGGGCAGGGUGAAAUUCCCUACCGGCGGUAAAGCCCGCGAGCCUAUUUGGCAUGAUUCGGUGAAACUCCGAAGCCGACAGUAAAGUCUGGAUGGAAGAAGAUAAAA